GAGGCACGUAAAUGUUUCUUCUCCAGUUGGAUGAUGAUAAGACUGUGACACGGGAUGCCACCUUUAGUCUUGUGAUGAAGCAAAGCUCAGGAAGAAGUGUGAUUAAAUGGUACCCACAUGUGUGCUGCUGAGAAGGAUGUACAGGGGCACCUGCAGCCAAAUCCAAGCCUCCUCAGCAACUUCAGGUCUGUCAGCGUGCUGAGGUCACAGAAACAAGAAAAGAAGCUUCAGACUUCAGAGUGUUGUUUACAGUUUUCUGUCAUCAUGAUCUCCCCUGAAGUUUAUCAAGCAAGCAGAGCGGCCGUUUGUGCUCACAGAUGGUGAUGGUGUGGAGAGACGGUGGUGUUUCCUCAGAAGAACUAGCAGAGUCACAAAGGGCACGAGUCCUUCUCACCACCUUGACUUGCUGACUGAUGCUCGUCUGCACUGCACAGAGGAAAUCAACUGACUGAGGAGUGUUUCUGAGUGAGGGAGAGAGGAGUCAUCAUCCAGGUAAAGUGACGUGGAUCAGUGGAUACACUUGUCUCCCCUUUAAAGAAGACACUCUUAGAGAGAGACGAAUCGAGUCAUCCUUAAAUAUGGGCAGGAUAUCAGUCUUGGACUGUCUAACCUGCCGGAGCAGCACUGAAUGACCACCACACAUGAGCAUGUUCCUGCAAUAUUCAGCAUCUGAUCUGCCAUCUGUGUGCUUCUGCUUUUGUGUCAAAUGUCAACCAGCUGGAGAGGAAACUACACCAGUGUACUGGGAUGUUUCAGCAACACGUGCCAGAUGCUGUUCCUUCAUGGUGACAUCACCAGAGACAGCCCUGCCCACCUCAGGACCUCUCCAUUGAUCAUGAUGAUUAUAAUGAUGACAGCGAGCGGAACUAAGACUGUAAAAAUCCACGACCAGAAUGUUUAGAUGCUUUCUAAUUAUUAAUGAAUACUGAGAGCCUCUUUCUGUGUUUUGUCUGUUUUGGUUUUUUUACCUCAUUUGUUACUAACAAAGUUCACCAAACUCACACAGUUUACAUUCUGUAUGUUUCCAUCUUUACCAGCCACACUCUUAACUGCAAUUAAGAAAACAAACCAUAGAAAUCGUUGCUUUUCUCUUUUGUAAUUGAUGAUAAUUCAGUGAAUAUACUGCGCUGCUUCCUUUUGUUUCGUCUCACAUUGCUUUA